UUUAAUCAAUUUUCGUGAUCUAAGUUGUAGACAACAGGCUUAACAAUCUGCUGUACUGUAGGGGACACUUAUGGUGUGUCUAUUUUUUAUUAAAGGUAAUAUUUGAUGUCAAAAGUUAAAGGUAGCGUUAAGUGGUUCAACGAAUCUAAAGGUUUCGGUUUUAUCACUCCAGAAGAUGGUAGCAAAGAUGUAUUCGUUCAUUUCUCUGCAAUUCAAGGCGAUGGCUUCAAAACAUUAGCUGAAGGCCAAAGAGUUGAAUUUGAAAUCACUGACGGUGCUAAAGGCCCUUCAGCUGUAAACGUUUUCGCGAUCUAAUUAUUUCGCAUUAAACGAUACAAACAGCUUUAUAAACUCGUCUUUUCUAUAAAAUGAAAGACGAGUUUUUAUUU
rnacentral:other from 1 species